GAAUUUCUUCCCUUGUCUUCUACAGUGGUGAAAAAGAUAUAUGCCAAUUUGAUGUGAAACAUAGAUCACUAACUAGGAAUUCACACAAAGCAGCUUGCGCUUAGUGUCCACAUCUUCAAUUUUAGAAACUAUAACUAUCAAAUCCUGAGAAAGUUGAUCUCGAUGUGAUGUGAUCCCAUCAAUACUCAGCAAAGAUAACAACCAUGCAAUAUCUACUGCCAUUUAGUAUUGAAGUACCACCAAUCAUACUAUUUUACUGCCAUUUGGAAUUGAGCACAGGCAGUAAAAGAUCCAGGACAAUUAUAUAACUGGUAACGAGAGUUGAAGACCAGAACUGAGAAUUCCAAUUAAUUGCAUAAUAAGAAACAUUAGGGAAGGCUUGGCAACUCACUAAGUAAAUAUAAUUCAAUUUUG
rnacentral:misc_RNA from 1 species